rnacentral:rRNA from 1 species
CCUACGGGUGGCAGCAGUGGGGGAUAUUGCACAAUGGGGGGAACCCUGAUGCAGCGACGCCGCGUGGGUGAAGAAGCGCCUCGGCGCGUAAAGCCCUGUCAGCAGGGGAGAAAAUGACGGUACCCGACGAAGAAGCCCCGGCUAACAACGUGCCAGCAGCCGCGGUAAUACGGAGGGGGCAAGCGUGAUCCGGAUUUACUGGGUGUAAAGGGGGCGCAGACGGGGUUGCAAGUCAGGAGUGAAAGCCCGGGGCCCAACCCCCGGACUGCUCUUGGAACUGCGUGGCGGGAGUGCAGGAGGGGCAGGCGGAAUGCCUGGUGUAGCGGUGAAAUGCGUAGAUAUCAGGAGGAACACCGGUGGCGAAGGCGGCCUGCUGGACUGCAACUGACGUUGAGGCACGAAAGCGUGGGGAGCAAACAGGAUUAGAUACCCGAGUAGUC